ACUCAAAUGAAUUGACGGGGACCCGCACAAGCAGUGGAGCGUGUUGUUCAAUUCGAUACGAAGCGAAAAACCUCACCAGGGUUUGACAUGCUAGAGUUCCAUUUCCAGGAAACUGGAGAAAUUCGCAAGAAGGCUAGCACAGAUGCUGCAUGGCUGUCGUCAGCUCGUGGCGUGAGCUGUUCCAUUAAGUUGGGAAACGAGCGCAACCCUCAUCGUAUGUUAAAUAAUUCAUGCGAAACAGCCCCCCUUUUUGGGGGGAGGAAGGCGAGGAUGACGUCAAGUCAGCACGGUUCUUACACCCUGGGCUACAAACACCCUACAAUGGCGAAAAACAACGAGCAGCAAGCACGCAAGUGCAAGCUAAUCUCUUAAAUUUCGCCUCAGUUCAGAUCGAGGUCUGCAACUCGACCUCGUGAAGUCGGAAUUGCUAGUAAUCGCGGAUCAGCGUGCCGCGGUGAAUACGUUCUCGGGUCUUGUACACACCGCCCGU
rnacentral:rRNA from 1 species